CAGUUUAAACUGUCAUUUCUGGAGACCGGAGCCUUGAACCAGGGCCUGAGCAGAACCCAGUUGACUCCAGAACGACUAACAACGGCUCUGUCUGCAGUUCUGACUAAUCAGACACCACCCCAUCAGCUCUUAAGUUCACCUCCGCUGCCACCUGCCGAUGCGGGACCUGAAUGUGGCCAAGAGUUCUGCAGACUGGGUUGUGUGUGCUCCAGCCUCCAGCAUCGGGAAAAAGAACGUGUCCACUGCAAACGGCCCGAGUGCAUGUUUGACUGUACCUGCUCUGACAUUACGACCCACAUGGAGCCGACAGCCCAGUCUCGCCUGGGUUUCAGUGCUACUAAACUGUGGAAACUCAACACUUGUGAUCCAGAUCCAG